UACAGAGGUCUCAAGCGUUGUUCGGAUUCAUUGGGCGUAAAGGGUGCGUAGGCGGCGCGGUAAGUCGGGUGUGAAAUCCCCCGGCUCAACCGGGGAACUGCAUCGGAUACUGGUGGACUCGAGAGUUGUAGGGGUGGACGGAACUCCAGGUGGAGCGGUGAAAUGCGUAGAUAUCUGGAGGAACACCGGAGGCGAAAGCGGUCCACUGGGCAACUUCUGACGCUGAGGUGCGAAAGCUAGGGUAGCAAACGGG
rnacentral:rRNA from 1 species